rnacentral:rRNA from 1 species
AUGCAAGUCGAACGCGGCCGAGAGGCAACUCUUGGCCGAGUGGCGAACGGGUGAGUAAUACAUCGGAACGUGUCCCGUUGUGGGGGAUAACCCAUCGAAAGGUGGGCUAAUACCGCAUACGCCCUGAGGGGGAAAGCGGGGGACCUGAGAGGGCCUCGCGCGAGGGGAGCGGCCGAUGUCGGAUUAGCUAGUAGGUUGGGUAAAGGCUGACCUAGGCGACGAUCCGUAGCUGGUCUGAGAGGAUGAUCAGCCACACUGGGACUGAGACACGGCCCAGACUCCUACGGGAGGCAGCAGUGGGGAAUUUUGGACAAUGGGGGCAACCCUGAUCCAGCCAUGCCGCGUGAGUGAAGAAGGCCUUCGGGUUGUAAAGCUCUUUCGGCCGGAACGAAAUCGCAUCUCCUAACACGGGGUGUGGAUGACGGUACCGGAAGAAGAAGCACCGGCUAACUACGUGCCAGCAGCCGCGGUAAUACGUAGGGUGCGAGCGUUAAUCGGAAUUACUGGGCGUAAAGCGUGCGCAGGCGGCUCUUUAAGUCAGAUGUGAAAGCCCCGGGCUUAACCUGGGAACUGCGUUUGAAACUGGAGGGCUUGAGUGUGGCAGAGGGAGGUGGAAUUCCACGUGUAGCAGUGAAAUGCGUAGAGAUGUGGAGGAACACCAAUGGCGAAGGCAGCCUCCUGGGCCAACACUGACGCUCAUGCACGAAAGCGUGGGGAGCAAGCAGGAUUAGAUACCCUGGUAGUCCACGCCCUAAACGAUGUCGACUAGUUGUUGGGGAGGGAAACUUCCUUAGUAACGAAGCUAACGCGUGAAGUCGACCGCCUGGGGAGUACGGCCGCAAGGUUAAAACUCAAAGGAAUUGACGGGGACCCGCACAAGCGGUGGAUUAUGUGG